AUGGAUUCGUCUGCCCAAGGAUGGGUCUGCGGCCUAUCAGGUAGUAGUGGGUGUAAUGUACCUACUAGCCGACGACGGGUACGGGGUUGUGAGAGCAAGAGCCCGGAGAUGGACUCUGAGACAUGAAUCCAGACCCUACGGGGCGCAGCAGGCGCGAAAACUUUACAAUGCGGGAAACCGUGAUAAGGGGACACCGAGUGCCAGCAUCAUAUGCUGGCUGUCCAGGUGUGUAAAAUACACCUGUUAGCAAGGGCCGGGCAAGACCGGUGCCAGCCGCCGCGGUAACACCGGCGGCCCGAGUGGUGAUCGUGAUUAUUGGGUCUAAAGGGUCCGUAGCCGGUUUGGUCAGUCCUCCGGGAAAUCUGAUAGCUCAACUAUUAGGCUUCCGGGGGAUACUGCCAGACUUGGAACCGGGAGAGGUAAGAGGUACUACAGGGGUAGGAGUGAAAUCUUGUAAUCCCUGUGGGACCACCUGUGGCGAAGGCGUCUUACCAGAACGGGUUCGACGGUGAGGGACGAAAGCUGGGGGCACGAACCGGAUUAGAUACCCGGGUAGUCCUAGCCGUAAAUGAUGCUCGCUUUAGGUGUUCUUUGUACGGGGAAAAAGUGUG
rnacentral:rRNA from 1 species